CAUUCCCCCUGCUCAGCCCCCCCUCCCUCCUCCCCCAAUCUGACAUCUCUCCAUUUGUACACGUAUGUCAGGCCUACGUGUAGUGAUGUGUAGUGUAAAUUGUAAUUUCCCCACUAGGGAUCAAUUAAUAGAAUAAAUUAUUAAAAAUUAAACAUUAAUUACAUUAUGUGUAAAAUUACAGCGUUCCUCUGCAGAAUGGAGGAGGACAUGCAAACGCAGCGCUGGCAAGAAGCACCGAUGACGACAAGGCAUCAAAGUAAAGUUAAAGGAGAAAAGAAAAGAGAACAAAGAAAAGAGAAGUCUCAUCACGAGUCUUUGGCCUGAACUGGAAACUUGAAUUGUUACUGUUUCUUUA